rnacentral:sRNA from 2 species
CGCCCGGUCAUUGGGGAGUAGCCGCCUUCCAUCGCGAGAAGGGUGUGCGUCAACAGACUUGCCCGGCCCGUGCCGGACAUGGCGCACACAGUGUUCAACCUGGCGAGACCUUUGACCGUGCAGUUUCGGAUGUGGCCGAAGGUGCUGCACGGUCAAUUGCGUCCUUCGGCCCAAGGAAACC